GACGAACGCUGGCGGCGUGCCUAAUACAUGCAAGUAGAACGCUGAAGGAGGAGCUUGCUUCUCUGGAUGAGUUGCGAACGGGUGAGUAACGCGUAGGUAACCUGCCUGGUAGCGGGGGAUAACUAUUGGAAACGAUAGCUAAUACCGCAUAAUAGUAGAUGUUGCAUGACAUUUGCUUAAAAGGUGCAAUUGCAUCACUACCAGAUGGACCUGCGUUGUAUUAGCUAGUUGGUGGGGUAACGGCUCACCAAGGCGACGAUACAUAGCCGACCUGAGAGGGGGAUCGGCCACACUGGGACUGAGACACGGCCCAAACUCCUCCGGGAGGCAGCAGUAGGGAAUCUUCGGCAAUGGACGGAAGUCUGACCGAGCAACGCCGCGUGAGUGAAGAAGUUUUUCGGAUCGUAAAACUCUGUUGUAAGAGAAGAACGGGUGUGAGAGUGGAAAGUUCACCCUGUGACGGUAUCUAACCAGAAAGGGACGGCUAACUACGU
rnacentral:rRNA from 1 species